rnacentral:lncRNA from 1 species
UGACGGCAGGGUCGCGACAGCUGGACCUCGGCGCCCUCCUGCCUGGCCAAGCCCCAGUAGCAAAACCAAAGGUGAAUUACUUGCUGUUAUCUAGAACUAACUUAUUCCUUUCUUCACCAUUAGUUCAUACCGUACUGCUACUAUUUCUUGAUGUCACAGGGGUGAAAGCAUAGCAAGAGAAAGCUGAGCAUGUCAUUGGAAUAUUUAAAAGUGAUAAGUACUCAAUAGAUCAUUGUUGCAAUUAACUGAAACUAAACUAAUUGUUUUGUCUUCGGAAACUAGGAGUCAAUUGAAAUUAAACCAAUUGAAGUAAUGAGCACUCGACAUAUUGCGUCUCAUGUAUGCUGAUUCAAUUAUGCCUUCUGCAUAAUCUGUCGAUCUGGCAAGACAACAUAUCAGACAUGCAUCAACCUAUUGUUAUAUCCCAUGAUAGUUUUAUAAGUUCCAAAGAUCACCAGCUUCACUCUGCAAAUUAAAGGGAGAUAUAACUGAUUACAUAAAAAGCCAUAUUGUUUACCAACGAAUUUAAGGAAUGUUAGACAUGCUAAGUGGGAAUACCGUCAGUAGACGAGCAUAGUACCCAUAUUCUUGCAAACCAUUUGCAUUUGUUCCAGCCAUUUGCUCUAUAGGUGCUUGGUAUUGUGCUACUGGAAUGUCAUUCUUUCCUCUCUAUGCAAACAUAAAAACAAGAAACAAAACAAAUAUUAGUUGACUUGUUACUAUAUUAGUCUAUUAAAUAAGUAGUGUAGUUAGAUAGGUGCAAGAGAUUUACAGAAUGAGUUUGAUUUUUGGGUACUGCUUUAGUUGUCUCCUUCUUCUUUUUAUUGGGGUGCUGGUUGUCAAGCCAUGUUUUCUUUCUUCUUGAAUUUUUCUUCGGAAUUUCCUUUUUCUUUAGGGAAGCAUCCUUUAAACAAUCCUCUGGUUCUUUAGAUAUAUCUUCAGUUCUGCAUGUAGUAGUGCGAGUUUUCUCUUCAACUUGCUUCCUAAGAAUCUUCAAAGCAUCAUCUACUAGUUUGAUACACUCUUCUGAUGUUACUGCUUGUGAAGCUAUGCCAAGAAACUCGUGCAUGAAAAACUUCAACUGUUGUCUAUCUUCUGAUCUAGGAUCUUCCAAAACAAUGUUUCCAUGGCUGUUUUCAAUAGUGCCGGUUCGCGCUUCUCGAGUCCAUCGCUUCAAAAUAUAGUGGCCUGGAAGAUACUUGAUAUUCAUGACAUCAAGGGCUUUCAAAGCAUGACUACACAAUAUACCAACUCUUUCAAAUUGGCCACAAUUGCAGAAAACUUUUUGCUCUUCAUAAUUAACUAGUACUUUGCACUCUUCUUCAUAUGGGAAUUCUGGGUCAAGACUUGCAAUUGCAACAGUAUAUGCAUUGUGUUCUACCGAUGGCUUGAUGUAUGCUGAGAUGGAUCUUUCAUAUUCAUUCUGAAAAUCUUCAAAUAUGCAUGGUGUGUAAACUUUGCUAGCUUGUAUUACCAUAGGAGUCCUCAUUCUGACUCUAGGUAAUUUUUUCCUAGACUCGUAUUCCUCAUUUACCUCGUUAUCUCUUUUUCCUUGCACAACCCUCUCUACGUGCUUGAAAAACCGAAGGAUGUCAAGACCAGACUUUAGAUGGUCUUUCAAGUCACUGUUCAAGCUCUCACUUAAUUGUGUGCUUCUCAUGCCUAUAGUGUAAGCAUUCCUCAUGUAACAUCUUGCCCAUUUCUCUUUUACUUUGUAGAUGCUGUCCAACCAAGUUUGUGUUUCCACAUUGCUUCUUAUGGCAUUGAAAGCUUCUUCAAAGGCUUCCUCUUCCUCAUACUUGUACAUGCAAGCACUGAAAUCAGCAAGUACAUUUGGUCCUUCCUCGUCUUUUUUCUUAUGAGGUAAGUGUCUGAUGGCAUUUUGCAUUAUGUGAAAAGUGCACAACCCAUGCCAUGCUUCCAUAAAUACUGCCCGAAUUGCAUUACCCAUUGCUACAUCUUGAUCAGUAAAUAUUGUUCCAGGUUGCUUUUUGUUAUGCACUGAUAGGAACGUGUUGAACAACCAUUUGAAUGAUUCAAAUGUCUCAUCAUAUAAAAGUGCAGCACCAAAAAUGACCAUUUCUCUAAAAUGGUUGAAGCCAACAAACACACCGAAGGGUCUGUACUCUUUGUUUGUCCCAAAUGUUGUAUCGAAGGUAACAACAUCACCGAAAUGAGCAUAGUCAAUGAUCAUCCUUGCAUCAGCCCAAAAGAUAUUUGCUAUAUUUUCAUCACAAUCUAGUUGCAUGUCAUAUUCAAAUGCAGGAUUCUCAUUCUUUUUAUCUCUAAAAUACUUGAGCAUACGUACUUCCAGCUUCACCAUACAUCAAGUCUCUUUGACGUCUGGUUCGCAAGUGGUUCUUGCGAUCACGACAUGUGUAGCCAAGGUUCAGUGGACCACCAACUUGUCGACUUGCUAACUCAUGGGCUUUUCUAGGUACAAUUCCUGAAUCAUCUGCUGUUUCAAUUUCAAGUGCUUGCAAGGCCGAAAUUUUCCUCUGUGAUGGCAUCAAGUGGCUUGUCCCAGGUAAUUGCAACACAUGGUUGUGUUCAACAACUAACUCAUGCACCUCAUAAUUUCCUGCUUCUCAGUCUAUAGUGAUUCCCAUUCGAACAUUGCAGCCGGUCCUUGUUUCUGCACGAGGACGCUUUGUAUUAUUAUCCCUUUUGUCUUUUCUUCUGUAGCCCUCAUUGGAACAAACAUAUCUUGCUGAAGUGAUUACUCCAUCAAGUUUGCUCUUGUUUUCAUAAUUUAUCCUUACAUCAAAACCAAUAUGACCUCCAUAACAUGUCCAAAAGUUCCAAGCCUCUUUUGUGGAAUGAAAUUUCAUACCAAUCUGAGGCAUCCAACUAGGAACCACAUUUGUCCUAUAAAAAUUACACAUAACUUAUUUGUUUGUAUGCUUACACUACAAUCAUAAGAUGAUAUGACCUGAGAAUUUAACAAAAUUGUCGGUACCUGUUAGCAUCCUCAUUAGAGGUAGUCAUAUUCUCCAUUGGACCUUAUCUUCCCCUUUUUGUGUAAUCUGUGAUAUAAUAGCAAACUCAGUCCAAAAAUUCCCUUGCUGCCUUGAGAACAUUAAUACAAUCAGAACAUGUGUCACAUACCUUAAGAAUGAUCGUCUUCUUUUUUGUUGCUAGGAGAAGGACAACAAAAGAGAGAUCGUCUGCAUUAAUCUCCUGUCAUGUUUUGGAAAUCCCAGGUACUUGAUGAGCAAAUCACCUGUGUUACAAGUAAAUAUUUGGAUACAUUCAUGCAUUUUAUCUUGAGCUUGUCCAAAACAAUAGAGAUCACUUCUAUUAAAAUUAUUUCUUUUCACUCUGACAUACUCUAAAAGAUGCAGAAAAUAAGUUUUGCAUCUUGUCCUUAUCAUCCUCCAUUCAGAAAAUAGUAGCAUCACAAACUCAAUCUACGAAUUGUGUGCCUUCAGAACAUGAAUACAAUCAGAGUGUAUGUCACAUACCUUCUGAUUUAUUGUCUUCUUUUUUGUUGCUAGUAGAAGGAAGACAAAAGGGAGAUAAUCUUCAUCGCCUACAGAUCAGCUUGCCUUGGUUUCACUCUGAACAUGGGGGAUGAUCAGAAGAGAGAUAAGGCAAAAGGGAGUUGAUCUCGCCACCUACAGACCACAGAUGAACGUACCUCCGCCAUGUUCUUUUACAAGGACGAGCAAGAGGAACGGGGAAGAUGAGCAGGACGAAGGCAAAUAGAUCGUAGAGGAGCCGAACCCAUCGAUCGCUGUUUGUCGCCAACGCGAUUAUUAGGGUGGUGUUUUGUUUGGCGCCAAUGUGAGUCUUCGUGGUUCUGUUUGGCGCCAAUGUGAGUCUUCGUGGUUCUGUUUGGCGCCAAUCUUGCAACCGUACAAGAUUUUCUACCACAUAAUUAGGUGUUUGUUUCCAUCUAUUAACAGAAUCGGGUGGGGGUAAUGAGAGCCGUGAGAUUUAAAUGAAUGGCUGAUCUGGGUUGGUACAGUACCCGUGCAGUAAUAACGUGACUGCAGAUGAGCCGAACCCCGAGAUUGCGGCUAGAUGACAUCGGCUGCAUGUGGCAAGACAUGCAUAAAUACUAAUUGGUAUAAACUACGAGAUGAAGAACCUAGAAAGUCAGAUUAGAAGUAAGUUAGAUGUUAUUUUGAUUAUUUUAUUUUGAGGAAUCGUACAAUCAGAUUGUAGUUUUGAUUUUCCUGGGUUGGACACGUUGGGCCUCUUAAUUUAUGAAUAACUUUUUGUUGACAAAUUUUGUGUGUGCAAAGAAAGCACAUGGGCAGCGGAUCAGUGUACCCAAUAAUGAGUAAUCUAUCACAUCAUGCUUCCGAUAUAUACUUUGUAGUACUACUAUUUUAUGGGUGUCCUACAUAAAAGGACAUGUAAGAGACAACAUUACAAACAUUAUUAUUUUUUCAUUAUAUUGGAAAACAAAGGAUAUCCAUGUGAUCAAAGAAAAUUCAUACCUAUUUUG